rnacentral:tRNA from 1 species
GGAGCUGUAGCUCAGUGGAAUAGGAUCUGCUUUGCAUGCAAAAGGUCCCAUGUUCAGUCCCUGACAUCUCCA